rnacentral:lncRNA from 1 species
CAGCAAGAUUUAUCAAACAAUCUCUUACAAAGAUAGAGAGUCAAACAUAAUCCAAGCAGGAAAAGACUGAGAAGACAGUGGGUGGAGACGACAAUCAAGAGAUGUGUUUAGCAGUGAAGUGGAGAAGAGCAGUGUUUGAUCUGGAGCUCCCAGCGCUGCCUUCACAUGCCCAAGCAACAGAGGAGGAGACACACAAACUCUCUGACAGCACUCUGGAUCACACUGGAACGCUCUUUCAGUCAUCUGCUGAGGAGGACUGAACCUGAACCGAGGUCAGGCCAAUGAUGGAGAGAUCGGACAGUCUGGUGUCGGCGGACUCUGAACUGGCGCAGUGUGAGACGGAGGUCAACACUUUACUGAAGAUCAUUUCUGACCUCAACAGGAAGAUGGACUCCCUACAAAUACCACGAAAAAGUCCAGUUGGGGUCAGUGGGUGCGUCCCGCAGCAGGGCUCGAUGGUGGACGCUGGCACAGCAUCAGUGGAGUCCAAGACCAAAGACGUCUGCAGGGACUCAGAAGGCAUGUACAGUGCCUCAUCGUCAAUCACAGUAAAUGCUGUGUCAGAACGGACAGCCUGCUAUUUACUGCGCUAUUGGUCCUGCCAGACUUUUGUUUCCAAAUGCAAAACUACUUAUUAAACGUUAAAAUUAUUUUCUCUGGGCACAUUAUAACGUUUCCGACACAUGCUAGUAAUUUUUGUCUAAAUUAAGGCUCCUGAGAAAUGUUGAGAAUUUUUUAGUUGGGAGGAAAAAUAACACUAAAAACCAAAAACUUAGGUAAUCCACGA